UACGUAGGGGGCAAGCGUUGUCCGGAUUUAUUGGGCGUAAAGAGCGUGUAGGCGGCCACACAGGUCUGCUGUGAAAACUCGAGGCUCAACCUCGAGCUGUCGGUGGAAACCGUGUGGCUAGAGUCGGAAGAGGAGAGUGGAAUUCCCGGUGUAGCGGUGAAAAUGCGUAGAUAUCAGGAGGAACACCGGUGGUGUAAACGGCUUCUGGACCAUAACUGACGCUGAGGCACGAAAGCGUGGGUAGCAAACAGG
rnacentral:rRNA from 1 species